rnacentral:rRNA from 1 species
GGUCAAGAAGAGAAGCGCAAACGGUGGAUGCCUUGGCAGUAAGAGGCGAAGAAGGACGUGGAAUCCUGCGAAAAGCUAUGGGGAGCUGGAAACGAGCGUUGAGCCAUAGAUGUCCGAAUGGGGGAACCCGGCUGCAGCGAUGCGGUCAUUUGCAUUUGAAUACAUAGGAUGCAAAGGCGAACUCGGGGAACUGAAACAUCUAAGUACCCGAAGGAAAAGAAAUCAAGAGAGAUUCUCCAAGUAGCGGCGAGCGAACGGGGAGGAGCCUGGCGUGAUUUAUUAUUGAACUGAGUA